rnacentral:sRNA from 1 species
UGAAAGUCAUUAUCAUCUCGGCUGAGGGGCCUGUGUUUUCUUCUGGGCAUGACUUAAAGGAGCUGACAGAGGAGCAAGGCCGUGAUUACCAUGCCGAAGUAUUUCAGACCUGUUCCAAGCAAUAGGCAUUAAUGUCGUGCCUCCCUCUGGGUGGAAAUGAAGUAGGUGUGUUUGUCCCGCAGGUCAUGAUGCACAUCCGGAACCACCCCGUCCCCGUCAUUGCCAUGGUCAAUGGCCUGGCCACGGCUGCCGGCUGUCAACUGGUUGCCAGCUGCGACAUUGCCGUGGCGAGCGACAAGUCCUCUUUUGCCACUCCUGGGGUGAACGUCGGGCUCUUCUGUUCUACCCCUGGGGUUGCCUUGGCAAGAGCAGUGCCUAGAAAGGUAAUUUAACUCCCCCCACCCACCUCUGCCUCCCAGCCUUCUCCAGAGUUCCUCCUCCAGUGCAUGCGAUGAUUCAAGAUCUGCUUGUUAAAAGUGCCUUUCAUAUCAGGACGUUCUGCCCA